rnacentral:rRNA from 1 species
GGAUAAGGAUUGGCUCUAAGGGUUGGGUGCGUUGGGCGUUGGGCCUUGGGGGGACGCCCUGGGAGCAGGCAGCCACUAGCCGGGCAACCGGCCGGCGGCAGCCAGCAUCCGGGCGCUGAUGCCCUUGGCAGGCCUCGGCCGUCCGGCGCACGUUUAACAACCAACUUAGAACUGGUACGGACAGGGGGAAUCUGACUGUCUAAUUAAAACAUAGCAUUGCGAUGGCCAGAAAGUGGUGUUGACGCAAUGUG